rnacentral:lncRNA from 1 species
AGGGACAUCAGACAGAGCUACAACCAGUGAGGGACAAAAGUGAGGCAGCUGCUGAAGAGGCUGAAUUGGUUUGAUCCAGAGAGGCAGUUAUGCAUAAGAGCAACCACUCUCUAUUGAAUUAGGAGAUCUCUCAUGCAACACAUCUCACCAAUUACAAGUCCCCAUUAGCCACCACGAUGGCUGGAGAAGAGUGGAUCAUCACAAAUGGUGACAACUGUGGUGCUAUCCCACUGUCAAUGCAGGAGAGAGCAAUACACACAAGACAGUUCAGUUCACAAGUCCAUCAGAAGCAGACUGCAGUUGCAUGAAGGCGCUGGCAAGUGAAAUCGAGGACCAUUAAUUAACCCAGGAGCAGAGUGAGGGGUAAGCUGGGAAAAUCAGCAAGGACCAGAAAGAGAGUGCAGGGAUCUUCCAGAUCCCGAGAGAAGCAGAGCCCAGUGUGUACAAGUGGGAACAAGUCACCAGGAACAACAUAAAAGGAUCUCUCUAAGAAGUGAAGUCUUAAUUUUUCCAUAAGAUAAAUUAAUCAAACACAGUGACCCCUUAGAUUUGAUAUCAUUGCAUGAAUAGUAAUAUAUAAAUAAUAAAGCCAACAUGGGCUCACAACCUGCAA